UACGUAGGGUGCAAGCGUUGUCCGGAAUUAUUGGGCGUAAAGAGCUCGUAGGCGGUUUGUCGCGUCUGCUGUGAAAACCCGAGGCUCAACCUCGGGCCUGCAGUGGGUACGGGCAGACUAGAGUGCGGUAGGGGAGAUUGGAAUUCCCGGUGUAGCGGUGGAAUGCGCAGAUAUCAGGAGGAACACCAAUGGCGAAGGCAGAUCUCUGGGCCGUAACUGACGCUGAGGAGCGAAAGCAUGGGGAGCGAACAGG
rnacentral:rRNA from 1 species